rnacentral:rRNA from 1 species
AGAGUUUGAUCAUGGCUCAGGACUAACGCUGGCGGCGUGCCUAACACAUGCAAGUCGAACGCAUCUGUGCUUCGGUACAGAUGAGUGGCGAACGGGUGAGUAACACGUGAGUAACUCCCCUUGGGGAGGGGGAUAACCAUCUGAAAAGGUGGCUAAUACCCCAUAUUCUCCUUUUUUGCCAAAGAAAGGAGGAAAGAUGGCGUAAGCUAUCACCCCGAGAGAGGCUCGCGUCCCAUCAGCUAGUUGGUAGGGUAAUGGCCUACCAAGGCUAUGACGGGUAGCUGGUCUGAGAGGAUGGUCAGCCACACUGGGACUGAGACACGGCCCAGACUCCUACGGGAGGCAGCAGUGAGGAAUCUUGGGCAAUGGGCGAAAGCCUGACCCAGCGACGCCGCGUGGAGGAAGAAGGCCUUCGGGUCGUAAACUCCUGUUCGGGGAGAAGAACAGGAGAGAAGUGAAUAACUUCUCUCCCUGACGGUAUCCCCGGAGAAAGCUCCGGCUAAUUACGUGCCAGCCGCCGCGGUAAUUC